rnacentral:tRNA from 1 species
GCGGUUGUAGCAUAAAGGUCAAUGCAGAGGUUUGUGAAACCUUUGAUGUGGGUUCAAUUCCCAUCAACCGCCCCA